CUUGGUCAUUUAGAGGAAGUAAAAGUCGUAACAAGGUCUCCGUAGGUGAACCUGCGGAGGGAUCAUUAACGAAUGGCUUCGGCCUUAACUUCAAAACCCGUGGAAUAAAGCCGUGCUUCGGCGCUAUAGCGUCGUAUUUAUGCAAUUUAUCGUCUGUGUCUGAAUUAAACCUAGAAUUAAAACUUUCAACAAAGGAUCUCUUGGCUCUUGCAUCGAUGAAGAACGUAGCGAAGCGCGAAAUGUAGUGUGAAUCGCAGAACACUGUGAAUCAUCGAAUCUUUGAACGCACAUUGCACCUCUCUCCGAGGGGCAUGCCUGUCUGAGCGUCAUUUAAACCAAUGGACCAGUUCCGUGUUGGGCCUCGCCUAAGGGCGUCGCCUCAAGGUUAUUAGUCUAAGAGCGGACGAGUUCCUUUAGGACAGACCGUUCGAUGGCAAUAUAUUUCUGAAUUGACCUCAGAUCAGGUAGGAAUACCGCCUGAACUUAAGCAUAUCAAUAAGGCGAGGAACAGAAACCAACAGGGAUUCCCCUAGUAGUGGCGAAUGAAGCGGGAAAAGCUCAAGUUUGAAAUCUGGUUCAACCAGAGUUGUAAGCUGAUGAGGCGUCGACCGACGCGGUUCGGGCUCAAUUUCCUUGGAAUAGGAGGUCAUAGAGGGUGAGAACCCCGUCUGUGGCUCGAGUGCCGUCGUCCUUGUGUCGUGCCCUCUAAGAGUCGGGUUGUUUGGGAAUGCAGCUCAAAAUGGGUGGUAAAUUUCAUCUAAAGCUAAAUACUGGCGAGAGACCGAUAGCGAACAAGUAGAGUGAUCUAAAGAUGAAAAGUACUUUGAAAAGAGAGUGAAACAGUACGUGAAAUUGUUGAAAGGGAAGCGCUUGGCAUCAGCCCAUGGCGUCAGUCUAUCAACCUGGCUUCUGUCGGGUGCACUAGAGUGAUGUCGGGCCAGCGUCGACUUUGCCCGCUGGAGAAAGGUUCGAGGGAUGUGGCUCCUUGGAGCGUUAUACCCUUGGGCGUCAUGCGGUGGGCGAGGUCGAGGUCCGCGGUUUAUCCUAGGACGCUGGCGUAAUGGUUCCAAGCGACCCGUCUUGAAACACGGACC
rnacentral:rRNA from 1 species